UGCCAGCAGCCGCGGUAAUACGGAGGGUGCAAGCGUUGCUCGGAUUUACUGGGCGUAAAGCGACCGCAGGCGGCUUGUCAGGUCCGAUGUGAAAGCCCGAGGCUCAACCUCGGAAGUGCAUCGGAAACCGGCAGGCUUGGGUACGGGAGAGGAGGGCGGAAUUCCUGGUGUAGAGGUGAAAUUCGUAGAUAUCAGGAGGAACACCUGCGGCGAAGGCGGCUCUCUGGCCCGAUACUGACGCUGAGACGCGAAAGCGUGGGUAGCAAACAGGAUUAGAUA
rnacentral:rRNA from 1 species